ensembl:lncRNA
AAUUUCUUUAUGCUUAACUUAGAAUUUUUAAAAUCUUUCCUUCAGUUGUUUCCACUGAUACUUCUGGGUCAGUGAAACAUUAAAUUACAUAUUUCUUAUAUAAGAUAUCUUUUCAUAAAUUGAAUUUCCUUUUUUUUUGGUAUAUAUGUGUUAUGGCUCUAAAUAGAUGAUUAAGAUAGGAGUUCCCGUUGUGGCGCAGUGGUUAACGAAUCCGACUAGGAACCAUGAGGUUGCAGGUUCAGUCCCUGCCCUUGCUCAGUGGGUUAACGAUCUGGCGUUGCUGUGAGCUGUGGUGUAGGUUGCAGACGCGGCUCGGAUCCUGCAUUGCUGUGGCUCUGGCGUAGGCUGGCAGCUACAGCUCCGAUUAGACCCCUAGCCUGGGAACCUCCAUAUGCCACAGGAGCACCCAAAAAAAAAGCAAAAAAAAAAAAAAAAAAAAAAAAAAAAAGAUGAAUGGAAACUCUUUUGGUUAAUAUUGCUAACAUGAAGCCAUUUGAUUUGAUACCUGCUUUUGAUUGCAAAUGAGACUCCUUGAUUGCAAAUGUGACCAAAAAUAUCCAUGUUGGUAAUCCAUUAUAGCAGCAAGUCUUAAUCUUUGCUUCUUUUUAGUUAAAUUGUUUCCCUAUUGUUUAAUAGACUUGCUCAAACAAGGCUAAAUGAAUGGUUGUGGGGGCUCACAUGGUAUUUUAGAGUCAUUACAAAAGACUUUUUCUUGAACAACACCUCUUUUGUUGUUGUUGAGAAAUCUCUCAUUGCUUCCAAGAAAAGGAGGUGUUGUUUUUUUGGUUUUUUUUUUUUUUUUUUUUUUUUUUUUUUUUUUUUUUUUUUUUUUGCAUCCACUAAUUAGUUCAGCGAGUCACUCCACCAUCUGAGUUGAGUUGCUUCAUCUGUAAAGUAUGGGGUGGGAUGAAAGUGAGAAGGACUGGGACCUGGGACUUAGGACACUUUGUUGCAUUGCUUGCAACAGGGUAAAUGUCUCCCAGAGAAAUGGAAUAUGAAGAAACUAUAAGGGACUAAAAAUAACUGCAUGCAAGGGCAGUUGAGGCAAAUUAUCGACAGGAUACAAAAAGACCAACAUCCCAACUGCCACUUCUAAGGUGUCAGGAGCAAGAGCAGGGCACUGCACAGCACCCUGCACACAGCACCACCAAGGGGGUGGGCUGACCACACAAGUCACCCUCCUGCCCAGCCCCUGGACUCGCCCUUACCCUCAGCCCAAGUAAGGAGCCAGCUCACUCUCUGGUCAGGAAAUGAGCAAGGGGACCCAUUGCUUGUUUUCACUCCCUUGUGCUACAGGAGGAGCCCCCAUAAAGCUUUGCCUGAAUUUCUAGUCUUGGCUCUUAUCAAUUUCUAUUAAUUAAAGGGUCCAAGAACCCAGCUCAGGAACAAAGGGAUCCUGAAGUUUCUUUCUAACUGGGGUUGGAAAUUACCUAAUUUUCUCUACCUUUUCCUAUGAGUUAUCCAUUUAUUUUCCCCUGAUUUUGAGGCUGAUAAAAUCCUUUAAAGCAACUGCUAGAACCUAGGAGAGGUAGACUAUUUACGACCCUAGGGAGGCAAGUUUUGAAAUCAUUUUCAUUCCGAGUAUCUCUGUCUUUGAGAGAACAUACUGAGUAGGUCUGCAGGCACCCAUCAGAUGGUAAGGCAGGUGGCAGGAGUUCUCAUCGAAGAGCAUAGAAAAAAGUUGCCUCCUUGAAUACGUAGUAGUAGCAAUUUAAUUGUAUUUUAAACGAAGUUAUAUUUAAUAUCUAUGUAAUAUCAUGAAAAACUGCCUGAAAAUGGGAUUUUACUGUCUCACUUUAAACUACAAUAUUGUUUGUUUUACCCAUUGGGUCUGCUUAUUUAAAACUUCAAAAUAAGUUGGAUAGAUUGUGCUAUGAGCAGUUUUAAGUCAUGUUUCACAGGCCACUGAGUUUUAUUUAACAAAGAGAAUAGUUAAUAAUAUCACACAUUAGAAUUCCCACUGUGGUGAAUGGAAACAUAUCCAACUAAUAUCUGUGAGGAUGCAGGUUCAAUCCCUGGCCUUGCUCAGUGGGUUAUAGAUCCGGCACUGCUGUGAGCUGUGAUGUGGGUCACAGAUGCGGCUCAGAUCCCACCUUGCUGUGGUUGUGGUGUAGAUUCGCAGCUGUAGCUCUGACUCGACCCCUAGCCUGGGAACUUCCAUAUGCUGUGGUGCAGCCCUAAAAAAGCAAAAACAAAAACAAAAACAAAACAAAACCAAAAACCUAUUACACAUAAAACAGGUCAUUAUUAACUGCUCUUUCAUUUAAGUGAAGAGCCAGGAUGACUGUCUUAAGGGAAAUCAGUGAGCCAGUGGCACAGAUAGAAAAAACACCCAGGUGUCAGUUCUACAGUUAAAAGUGUCACUCUCUCUAAAGCAAAAGUUCCCUUGUUUUCUGCAGGAAACAUCAGAAAUGUUUACUUCUUUCUUUGGAUGUCAUGGAAACAGUGAACUUUUAUCUAUCUUUCUUAGCACUUGGAGUCACUCUAAUGAUGAUGAAGUUUUGCUUCCUGGUCCAUGAUACCUGUAAAGUACUAUUUUUCUUAGUGGGAAUAUCUAAGGAAAUGAGAGAGAAACAUGAAAAACUUUUAACUGCUGAAAAAUACAAGGGCCCCCAUUCAAAAAGAUAGCCCUAAGCAAGUAGCUUAGUGACUGGAGAUAAUCUUUGUUGUUUUCUGUGUGAAACACAAAAUAUAUUUUAAAUAAAAAAUGUAACAUGAGUACAAAAAAUGUAAAUAAAACUGUGUGAGGGAGUUCUCUUGUGGCUCAGUGGGUAAAGGAUCUGGUGUUCUCACUGAAACAGCUUGGGUUGCUGCUUUGGUGUGGGUUCGGUACCUGGCCUAGGAAUUUCCGCAUGUCAUGGGUGUGAUCAAAAAACAUGAAGUGAUAUUAGAUUUAGAGCUGUUAUAAGAGAAAGUUACAUGGUUCAGCUGAGAUGCUACAGAAAUUAAUGAACUGGCUUCUCUAUUAUGACAAUUAGAACAAAGGCACUACAUUUUUAUUUAGAAGUAGUAUUCCAAUUAUAUUCUAGAAUUGGUUUCAGGAGUCCUACUAUAAAUAUAUUAGUGUAUCAAAAGUUGUGAAGAUAACUUUAAGGGAAAAUGUACUCUCCUACUACUUAACUUUGACUUUUUUUGUUAUUUAUAUAUGCAUCUCUCCUCCUUUGGAUGAAUCUGAAAUAUUAGAUAUAGAAAGAAUAACUUAUUGGGCUCAUCUUAAAGAAUUUUGGACAAGAUCAAAAUGCUGAUUUACCUUCCAGAUUUAAUUAAUGGUGGCAUAUUAUUUUAAGCUUAUUAAGCAUAAUAAGAAGUUUAUUUUAAAAUGUCAUCUUGUGGGGAAUCCAGUCCAGAAAAGAAAAUAACAGUUUUAAGUCCCAGUUAAAUGGUAAGUAUGUGUUACAUUACUGCUCAUUAGUUGGAAAAUUCAAACUUUCCCCUUAUACUGUCCUUGGCUUUACAACUCCAUGCUAAUGCACCUUCUGAAAAUCUGCUUGGGUCAUUUCUGCUUCAGACAUUAUCAUUAAGGAUAAAAAGUUUCAAGUCUGCAAUUUCAGGUGAUUAUGUUUAUACAGUUGGGAGAAUAGUGGAAUAAUUUAAAAAACAGCACAUUUUGUGUAUAUGCAUUGACUCCCACUUCCGUAGUGAAUGGAUUUUUAUGCUCCUAGGAUGUCAUGCUACUGUCGUCAGACUCUAGUCACCCAUUGAUAAUGACAAUUGCAUUGAUUGCUUCAGAAUCAGCUGAUCUUCUGUGACUCAAUAGCUUCCCAUUGCAGACUUCACUCAAAAAAAAAAAAAAAAAAUCAGACCUGGAAUUGCUGAUAUUUCUCAUUCAAUGCCUGAAGUCCCCAUACAUUUUUAGACUGAAUUGUUGUCCUGAGAUAGAGACAGAGAAAUAGAACUUUCUUGAGACAGAGAAAUAGAACUUCUUCCCCAGAUGUUUAAAUAGUCUUUUUAGGCUUCAUUAUUCUUUCCUUAGACAUUUAUUGUCAUUUUUAUAAGUGCCACUUAAGCAGGUUAUGAUUGAGAAUACAGCUUCUCCCAGUCCAAAUUUAAAAGUCAUCUUAUCCCCAAGAUUUUUACCUGAGAGUGAUCGAUCCUCAUUCUUCCUCUCUCUCCAGCCCACCCUUCUGCUACCUUAGGUAUUUCUUGUUUUAGGAAAUUAAUCAUGAAAUCUAUUAAUUUAAACUGAACUAAGACAUAUGAUCUCCAUGUUGAUAUGAAAAAGUAAGAAGAGCCCUGUAGAACAUAGCAGCUAGCCAAUAAAAGGGGGAGAGGGAGAUAGUGACAUUCCUAACAAGUAAGGCUGUGGAAUAAGGCAGAUGUGGAUUUGAUUGAGUUAUAAAGUUGUCACUUUCUUCUUGUGUGAUAAUGGUCAAGGUAUUUCGUUCUUUCAAGUUCAUUUCUCACAUCCCCAAAAUGGUGUUGCUAAUGCCUCCUUUGUAAUAUCUUCAUGAUGAACAAAUAUUUUAAAAAGGCAUGUGUGUUAUUAUUAUCAUCAUAUCAUUAUGCUGAGUCAGUAAAAAAAAAUCAGUCAAAGUAGAUUGUUAGAAUUUUUUUCUGAACAUGGUGGACUAAGAAAAAAAUGAAUUAUCUUCAUGACAUAAACAGUGGAAGAGAGAGUAAAAUGUAUGAAACAACUGUCAUCAAGCAGUUAUAAAGUGUGAUUCCUGAGAGAAGAAAGACAAAUGAAAUGAAUCCAACUAUACAACCACCCUGAAUUUCUGCCUCAAAACACACUUUGGAAUAUGGUAUAGGGAGGGCUAUCUCCAGAGGAGCGGGUUAUUCUUCAUGAGGUGAAGAGAGCAGUAUCAGAAUUCAGUGAGGCUGUGUUAGCCACAGGUUGCAAAGAAGAGUUCUGAAAAGGAGUAAGCUUUCCCCCACAAAAGGGGAAAGAUCUGCAAAGGAGUUCCCUUGAGCUUCCUUUGCUAAAUCCUAAGAUGUGCAUGUAUUUGGUGAAACUCUAUAAGGCAGGGCAAAGAACCACUGAGCUAUGAGCUGAACACAGAAUAAGGAGCUUUUUGAGCUCAAGUCAGACAGAAUAGAGUCUUUAUUGAUCAAAUAUGUCAUAGACAACUCAGAAAGGUCACGUGUUGUAGGAUUAAACUACAUAUAGAAUAAAGAUUACCCUUGGCCCACCCAAACAGAGAAUAAAAAUAAAUCUAAAAAGAUCAAGUAAUUCAAAAAUAACCAAAUUACUUGCUAGAACAAAUUUCAAUACUGUUAGAAAAAGACAACAAAAUCCAGAUAUUAAUUGUCAUUACACACAAUGUCUAGCAUUCAAUCAAAAACUACCACAUGUGGCAAAAAUCUGAAUAGAGUAAUUUAUAGCCAGGAAAAAAAAAUCAUUCAAUAAAAAUAAAACCAGGAAUUAUAAACAAGAUAGAAUUAGCAAACAAGGACUUCUAAGUGAGUCAUAAAUAGUUUAAGAAUUUAAUGCAAAACAUGAACACAAGAAGAGAAAUAGAAAAGGUAAAAAAGACAAAAAUAGAAUGAAAUACUUAAAUGUGGAAAAGUAUAAAAAAUGAGAAAUCCAUUAAAGAUUCAUGAAUUGUUGGAAAUUAUGGAAGAACCCAUGGAAAUAGAAACUUUUCAAUCCAAAAUAAAACACACAGAGGGAAAAAGACUGAAAAAAGUAACAAAGAAUAUUUAGAUGUCAGGAGGUGAAAUCUGAAAAAACGUGUGAAGAAUCUGAAGCCAGAUAAACACAAAGAAAAACAUACCAAAGCACAUUAUAGUUAAAUUGCUGAAAACUAGUGAUAAAGAUAUUAGAAGCCACCAGAAGGAAAAAAAAAAAAAAAAAAAAA